rnacentral:ncRNA from 2 species
AAAGGGCGCAUAGUCGAUGGUUCCGUGCAAACGGAUGAAAAGGGAAUGCUGUAUGCUUCGGCUGGACAUCGUGUCCGGAAGUCAGUCAGCAACUGCCCCCGCAACUGUUGGCGGUGAGAGUCUGUUUGUUAUGUUUCCUUGCAGAAACAGGUCACUGGUUCGUUUGGACCGGGAAGGCUAAGCAGAACUCCAUGAUCCGCGAGUCAGGAGACCUGCCAUCGUCGUGAUAAGCCC